rnacentral:rRNA from 1 species
UUGGAGGGCAAGUCUGGUGCCAGCAGCCGCGGUAAUUCCAGCUCCAGUGGCGUAUAUUAAAGUUGUUGCAGUUAAAAAGCUCGUAGUUGAAUUUCGGGAUCGACGGGUCGGUCGCGCCUCUGGUGUGUACUGGCCCUGUCGGUCUCUCCCUUCUGACGAACCACGAUGUCAUUAAUUUGGUGUCGUGGGGAAUCAGGACUGUUACUUUGAAAAAAUUAGAGUGUUUAAAGCAAGCAUUCACUUGAGUACAUUAGCAUGGAAUAAUGAAAUAGGACGUUUGAUCUUAUUUUGUUGGUUUCUAAGAUCGACGUAAUGAUUAAUAGGGAUAGUUGGGGGCAUUAGUAUUCAAUUGUCAGAGGUGAAAUUCUUGGAUUUAUUGAAGACUAACUACUGCGAAAGCAUUUGCCAAGGAUGUUUCCAUUAAUCAAGAACGAAAGUUAGGGGAUCGAAGACGAUCAGAUACCGUCGUAGUCUUAACCAUAAACUAUGCCGACUAGGAAUCGGAUGAUGUUAAUUUUUUAAUGACUCAUUCGGCACCUUACGGGAAAC